GCCUGGAUAGUUCAGUUGGUACAGUGUUAGACUUUUAAUCUGAGGUUCAGGGUUCAAGUCCCUGUUCAGGCA